UUGGAGGAAAGUAGGGGAUCGCAAGACCUUGCGCUUUUGGAGCGGCCGAUGUCUGAUUAGCUAGUUGGUGGGGUAAUGGCUUACCAAGGCUUCGAUCAGUAGCUGGUCUGAGAGGACGACCAGCCACACUGGGACUGAGACACGGCCCAGACUCCUACGGGAGGCAGCAGUGGGGAAUUUUGGACAAUGGGGGAAACCCUGAUCCAGCCAUGCCGCGUGAGUGAAGAAGGCCUUCGGGUUGUAAAGCUCUUUCAGUCGGAACGAAAUGGUCACGGUUAAUACCCGUGACAAAUGACGGUACCGGAAGAAGAAGCACCGGCUAACUACGUGCCAGCAGCCGCGGUAAUACGUAGGGUGCAAGCGUUAAUCGGAAUUACUGGGCGUAAAGCGUGCGCAGGCGGUUUUGUAAGUCAGAUGGAAUCCCCGGCUUACCCU
rnacentral:rRNA from 1 species